GACGAACGCUGGCGGCGUGCUUAACACAUGCAAGUCGAACGGAAAGGCCCUGCUUUUGUGGGGUGCUCGAGUGGCGAACGGGUGAGUAACACGUGAGUAACCUGCCCUUGACUUUGGGAUAACUUCAGGAAACUGGGGCUAAUACCGGAUAGGAGCUCCUGCUGCAUGGUGGGGGUUGGAAAGUUUCGGCGGUUGGGGAUGGACUCGCGGCUUAUCAGCUUGUUGGUGGGGUAGUGGCUUACCAAGGCUUUGACGGGUAGCCGGCCUGAGAGGGUGACCGGCCACAUUGGGACUGAGGUACGGCCCAGACUCGUACGGGAGGCAGAAGUGGGGAAUAUUGCACAAUGGGCGGAAGCCUGAUGCAGCAACGCCGCGUGCGGGAUGACGGCCUUCGGGUUGUAAACCGCUUUCGCCUGUGACGAAGCGUGAGUGACGGUAAUGGGUAAAGAAGCACCGGCUAACUACGUG
rnacentral:rRNA from 1 species